rnacentral:rRNA from 1 species
AGCGAACGUUAGCGGCAGGCCUAACACAUGCAAGUCGCGCGAGAAUUGGGCUUCGGCCCAUAGUAAAGCGGCGGACGGGUGAGUAACACGUGGAUAAUCUGCCCUUCGGCGGGGGACAACAGUCCGAAAGGAUUGCUAAUACCGCAUACGUCAGCGAGCUCUUCGGAGCUUGCUGGGAAAGAUGGCCUCUUCAUGAGAGCUAUCACCGAAGGAUGAGUCCGCGUCCCAUCAGCUUGUUGGCGGUGUAAGAGACCACCAAGGCGAAGACGGGUAGCUGGUCUGAGAGGAUGAUCAGCCACACUGGAACUGAGACACGGUCCAGACUCCUACGGGAGGCAGCAGUGGGGAAUAUUGGGCAAUGGGCGCAAGCCUGACCCAGCCAUGCCGCGUGAGUGAUGAAGGCCUUCGGGUCGUAAAGCUCUGUGGGGAGGGAAGAAAAACCUUGUGGCUAAUAUCCACGAGGCUUGACGGUACCUCCUUAGCAAGCACCGGCUAACUCCGUGCCAGCAGCCGCGGUAAAAC